UACAGACGUAUAUACGUGCGGGAAGAUCUGUAUUCUCUCAGAGGUUGUUUAACAGUGAGCGUAGGCCAAUUCCUCAAUAUUAACGGGUCAUUUGUGCCUCGAAGACUGAUCAGCAUGGUCGUAAAUAUUCACGUGGAAUAUUGUGGCGCAUGAGGAUAUGUCUCCAAAACCUACAUCAAAGAAGAAGCAGCUUGUCUAAGUCUUGUCUUCUGCACAACUAGUCAACUUAAUACUUAAGAUACUGGUUCACCUUGGUAAGGCAGUGUGUCAGUUCGAGAAGCUGAAGAGACAGCUGAAGAACGAAUUUGGAGACAACCUCCAAUGGAGCCACUAUGCCACACCUGGUAUUACAGGAAACUUUGAAGUUUCUGUUAACAAUGAAAUUAUCCAUAGCAAGAAGAAUGGUGAAGGGUACGUUGACAACGAUGCCAAACUUGCCAAGAUUGUGAAUGCUGUGAUAGCAGCAUCUUGAUAAGGGACCACAGAUCAAGGAUCACAAUGAAUAACUUGGAGGAAUUAGGAGGUGGUACUUAUAAUGAUGGCACAAGAUUAAAAUACUCCUGUCUUGUACCUGAUGAACUUUAGUGUAACCUUGUAAUGACCUCUGACUUGGUUUGCUGUGACCCUGGAUCAGUGGCAAUUUGUUACAAAACCUUGUACAUUAAGUUUUAUGAUAUGGGUUGUCUUAUUUUAAAAAAAACACGGUUGUCAGUAUUUACACUAAAUUUGAGGUACAUGAACUUUGUAAUAGAAAAUAAAAUUACUGUAAGAUGUGGGAGAAAAAAAAAAUUUGCCUUUAGAAAUAAAGUUACUUAAGUUUUAUAUACUCCCGAGGUGAAGGUUCUGAAUGUCUAAAAAUAGUGUUCAAUUCACCCACCUCUUCAAUUGUGAAACUAAAACCAGAACAAACUUAUCAUUUUAUCAGAUACAUGGGUAUGGUGUGAUUUUAUAGAAUCUUCUGUUUUCUUCAACAUUGAUCAAACGAUGUACUAGCAUAUUGAAAAUUACCAUGAACUAAUCAUGUUUGUUAAAAUAAGAAUUAUAUACUUAUUCGAUCUAAUUCUAUGAAUAUCUAAAUGAUUCACACUUGUUAUAUGUUUAUUAUGCAUUAACAUUGAGAUAGGGUAUUUUGUUUACGAUAAUGCUUUACAUUCCCAUAGAUGAAUUCCUGUACGUUUGCACAAAAAUACCAGUGAUGGUAGUAUUUACAGUUGUAAACACAUGAGAUUAGCUACAUCAUUCAAGUUUACUUAAGUUUCUACACUCCAUCUGUUCUGUAUUAUUUGAAGAUUUGUUUUGUCAACCAUAAUAAAUCAUUUUACAUACCAAA